rnacentral:piRNA from 1 species
UACCAAGGUAGUGAUUGAAACCGGGG